AAUCUUAGAAACACCGGUUCCAGCUCUCUGGCUUUGCAUCUACAGUUACUUUAUCUGGGUAUUUGAAGAUUUCUUGACUAUGCCAGUGUAAAACUCAGUCUUUGGCUUCUGAUGAGUCUACCAUGAUACUGACAACCUACCAGCUGAAGAGAAGUCUCUACAUGGACUGUGCAAAAGAGAUUCAGAGGCGUCUACUGAAUUUCAACCAUAAAUUGUCUAGUAUAAAGGAAGAUAAGUGUCCCUGCUGAAGAAGAAUGGAAACAUAAUGGAAUCAAUUCGGUGUGUCUGUGGAAAGAACUUAUUUCUCCAUUCCCCCAGGAUCCAG
rnacentral:lncRNA from 1 species